rnacentral:lncRNA from 1 species
AAGCGGUGCCGGGGCGGCCAAGAAGCCGGGUGAGUUGAGUCCGGGCGCGCCGCUCUCUGGCCACAGGGCGUGGGCUGGCUCAACAGUCCUCUCAGAGUCUCAGUUUCCCCAGUUGUGAAACACAGAUGAGGAACCCUGGACUCGGGGUGGUGCCGGGAUUGACUGUUACCUGCGCAGGUCGAGGCCUUCUCAGACUGGACCACACAGCAGCUCACACACAUACACACAUACACACCACCAGCUCCCGCGCCAGCUGCUGGAGUCUGUCUCUUCCUGGCGUGAGAAGCACCAUUAAAGGAAUUCACCACCACAGCUCUUUCCUACGCCGAGCGCUGUAUCUGUUCUCUGGAGGACGGAAAACCUCUUUGUUCCUUUGGCCUGCCCUGGCAGCCUCACCCUGCGCUCCCAAACAUCGGUCCCUAGCGAAUUGUGUAUUCUCCCCAUCCUCUCUGGAUGAAUGACUUUCUUCCCCCUUGAGAGGGGCACGGAGGGGAAUUUAUGCUCCUUAUCUCCUUUCUGGUGACAGUUCUGUCCCCCAUUCACCGGAAGCCAUUGUUUAGGGUCCCACCAGAUUGGGGGGGGGGGAGAAGGAAGAAAUGGAAGGAGGGUACGACGAAAGAGAGGGAAGAAAUACAAAAGAAAAGAUGAAAAGAAAAUUAGUUCAUUAGCAGGGCUGUAAGAGAAUAUUACAGACCUUAGGAAGGCAGGCAGGCAGGCAGGCAAGGGCGGUGGUGGCGGUCAGUAUUGUCUAGUACUGCCCCUUGCUGAUAUUUAUGGGGUAUAGUGACUGCACUAUAGAUAGUGCCCUGAGGGCUGCAUAUAUAAAAAGUAACAUUCAAAAGUCAGGGGAUUUUCCGUGAAUGCUUGUAUUGCCGUAGCCUCUGGAAACUAUGGCAUGGGUCCACUUUCUGACUUCUGACAGCGCAUUAGAUCUGUGGCCCCACACUCUCCACUUUCCCACGCACUGUUCACCCUUAGCUGUGUGACAGCUUCAGGAGCUGAGCUGAGCGAGCAGCCUGCUGUCAGGGAAGAGCACGUUUGGGCCUAGAAGCCAAACCCCAAAGCCUCAUGCGGGGGCAUAGGUGCCUCUUUCAGAGGUGGUGAAUACAGUGUGUGACCCUGGGAUUAAGGGAGUGUAGUUACUAAAUCAGUCCACUGAUGAGUUUGGCACUGCCCUCAUCCCAGUAGUCUUCUGGAUAAGAUAAGAGGAGCAGAAAGAAGCAGUUAAGGUCCCUUGUUGCUCUUGCUACCCUCUUGCUGCCAUGAACUUCUUCGAAGCCCUUGUGCUGAGCCACCCUGCCUGGGAGCCAGCCGAUUAUGGGCAGACUGAGCUAAAUAAACCUUUCCUCCUUUAACUUUGGGUGUUGAGUAUUUUGUCUCAACAAUGAGAAAAGUAAGUAACACGCAUGGUAGAGGCACACAUAGUAGAGGCACAUGAAAUAAUUUGGGGCUAGAAGUCCUGGCACAUGGGGCAGACCCUCUCUCUAGGCCUGGCUCUGUGCCUGUGAAGAUUUCAUCAAACAUGACAUCCACUUGGGCUCCAGCG